GUGAACGAGCGACGCCGCGUGCGGGAUGAAGGCCUUAGGGUUGUAAACUCCUGUCGAGGGGGAAGAAACGCCGCGAGGCGGUGACUGAACCCUGGAGGAAGCACGGGCUAAGUUCGUGCCAGCAGCCGCGGUAAGACGAACCGUGCGAACGUUAUUCGGAAUCACUGGGCUUAAAGCGCGUGUAGGCGGGAGGGCGCGUCCGACGCUGAAAUCCCCCGGCUCAACCGGGGAACGGGCGCGGAGACGACCCUCCUGGAGGGACGUAGGGGGACCUGGAACUUCCGGUGGAGCGGUGAAAUGCGUUGAGAUCGGAAGGAACGCCCGUGGCGAAAGCGAGGUCCUGGACGUUUGCUGACGCUGAGACGCGAAAGCCAGGGGAGCGAACGGGAUUAGAUACCCCGGUAGUCCUGGCCGUAAACGAU
rnacentral:rRNA from 1 species